ACGUCGCCGGGGAUAUUGUCUUGUCACAGCAGUACGCCUUUAAAGAGUUACUGGUGUGAUGGGACAUUGUCCUCGUCCCGUGGCCCUUCGU